GUUGUAUUUAGCUGCUAUGUGCUGGUUUAUAGAGAAUACCUAGGAAUUAACUUCUUAUUAAUGAGCAGCUUGAGUUACAAUAUUCAUGUCUGGCUCAUCAAGAGAAGUUGUGGAGUGCUGAAAGUCACUGUGGUUCAUCUGGUGAAGACCAUGGGACCUUCCAUACUAAGCAACAUAUCUAGGCUUGAGCAAAUCCAUGUGUUCAAUCAGAACAACAAAGGAAUUACUGUCACCCAAAUACAUAAGACAAAAUACAGACUGGCCAGGAUGCUGCUGUGGGCCUUAUGACUGCUCCCUCAUUACUGUAUGCUGUACAGAGUAUCCUGUCUUGGGCGAAGUUACAAUCUGAAAGCAACACUAUAUUAAGCAAGUGGUGAGCAAGCAUGAUUACAAGUGCAACUGUGAGUCACUUACCAUUAAUUCCUGUGGGUGUACAUACAGAUGGAGAUAGAGACCCACCUCCCUUGGGAAACACCAGCUUCAAUCUCUUCUUCUUGUGACACAAGCCGUGAAUGCCAUGGAGAGAUAAAUUCAACUACAUUCUUUCCUGUAAUGGGAAUGGUAUUUCACUAUGCUGUUACCUCCUCCCAUGUAGCCUCACAUGUGCUCAGAAAUGCAACAGAUUCUACAGCAGUUUUAAGAUUUGUCUUCUGAAAAUGUCAUUUUGAAGCUGUGAAAUCAGCUGUGCUCAAAAUGGAAAGCACGCUCAAUGGUAUGGAAAGAGAUAAAAGCUAGAAUUUCUUCUUUACGCCAUUCUUCUGACCCCAAAAAAUGCUGACCUCCUGCAUCUGUCCAUUUUGACUGACAAAUAAGUGGUCAGUUUGGAUAAAAACCAAAGAUCAGAACUAAUAAAUGUGUUGGCAGGAACAUCCAUGGAAACUAGUUUAUUUAAGACAGAAUUAAAAAACAUUUGCCAAGGGGGAAUUUUAAAUAUAUUGCCCUCAAACGCAUGCACUAGGAAAUCUGGAUUACAUUCAACCAAAUAAUGAACAGAUACAUAUUGUAUUACUUAAGUGAGCAGUCACAGCAAUGAAAUUUUGAUUGCACAGUAUUCUCAAAAUGGUUAUAAAGUGAUCUUCCAAGCAGAAGUGAUUCACAUGAAUAAAUCUGAGAAUUCAGCACAUUGAUCCUAAGGAUGAAAAAAAAGAAGAAAAAAAAAUGCUGUGAAAUGUACAGAUACCUUGUCUUUAUUAGCAGUUAUUCAGUCCCUCCAAAGAUUUUGUUGUUGUUGUUCUGUAGAAAUAUUACUUCAGCUGAAUGAAUUCAUUUCUUAGUCUUCAGUGGACAGACUCCAGUGUGAUGGAAGAUACUCAAGACUUUGCAGAUCUUCAGAGAGUUUUCAUUUUUUUGCCAUCACCACAACCGAUCUCCUUUGGAUAUUUUACAAACCUUACAGCCAAUGAAGGCUCAGACAUAACUGGUCUGUCCACAGCGUGGCCAGCCAGAAUUGGUUUUGACAGUCAUCUCAAAAUUGUAUCCUUUUUCUGUUUGGCAAAUGAAUGGAGCUUACGAGAUGACAAACAAGCUUCUUAAGUCAACAUAUUUACCACAAUUUCCCUUCAUUAAUUCUCAUAUGGUUGAACAGAAGGCAGGACAAUUGGUUCACCUGGUGCAAAGGCAGAACAAGCUGAUUUAUGCAUUGAACAAGAGAGGGAGUAUCGCAUGUGCUGCUGCCAAACUCUUGCCCAGUCACAAUUUGUUUGCACCUGGCUAUCAAAACCUCACAGCUUCAAAUGGGCCUGGUAGUGAUCUGUAAGGAAACAGGACAGCUGAGAAUGGUUAUCACUGGUUGCCCUAUUCAGCAGUCACUGGUUCUUCAGCUGAUUGCGGCUCCUCACCCUCAAGAUCCUAUCGUACCUCUGGGAAUUGCCCUAGGGAAGGCUGGGAGUGAGUGAACUUGGGCUGCAAAGUGCAAAAGGUGCAAAACUAUUUCUUGAUGCCUCAGAGAGUUGUUCUUUUUUUUUUUUUUCCCCCUUUGUUCCCACUGGCUCUGACCCUAUUUUUGCCUUCUUGGUUGGACAGAAAGAGCUAACAGAGCUUUGUGCCUCCCAUCUUCUGCAUAAAAGCAACACUGGACCUGGCAAAAAGUCAUGGCUUCGUUUUCUUUAAUUUUUCCGGUCCUUUCCUGUAUCAUCUGUGGAUUUGAGCAGCCACAGAGUUGUGGCGUCCCCAGCAAGGAGUUCUGCAACAUAUCACCCAACUGUUCCACACAUGCCCGCUUUCCUCCAAUUUUCAGCUUCUCUUCUCCCAUCUUCUUAGGGGAUCACAGCGGGCAAAUAACUGCUGCUCACCUCACUGUGCACAGUCAUCACACAAGCAGUGCCAGUGGUGGUUACAGCAAAGUCUGCUCUAAUUAGCAAAGGUAAAAAAGGACUUGUCACGCUUGUGCACUGCAGUGUGAACGUGGGCAAGGCCAAGUUAUAUCCAAGAAAACACACAACCAUUUUUUGGAGUGGUGGCCAAGAUCAUUGUGUUAACUGCCAAGAACUGGGGAGCAUUGAAACCCCACUGCUUUUUUCUCUCUGUAUGAGGAACAUUGGUUUUGACCUGCCUUUUCCAAUAUAAACAUCAUUCUUUGUGCGUAUCAUAAAAAUGCACACACACAAAGAACCGCUUCACUGCCCAUUCAUCCCAUGCUGGGAAGAAACAAAUUGAAUAAACAAAUGGCAUAUGUUAGUCACAUUGCUUCAUGCACUGCUGGAAAUGUGUUCAGAUACUGUGGUGUCUUCUAUUACGAUCACUGUAGAAUUAAAUGUAUACAUGUUUCUUUUUAGGAUUGUACUGUGACAUCUGAAAUGAAGUAUGAGUUACUUGAAUUUGGAUAAAUGUGAUAUUUAUUAGAAUAAGCAUGUACUAGCCCUCACAAAAUAAAUGUGUGUUGUGAAAACACUCUUUCAUCUGGCUAAAUUGUAAAGAACUGUCUGAGGUAAGCUUUGAUUUUCAGUAGCAUCACUAUUCAUAUUAUUUGAGUAACCAUAAUUUUAAGGUGGCUUUUUUACAGAUAAUGUACAACCUCCUCUGGCACAAAUGGCACUUAUAAUAUUCUCAAGUGGCUUCACUGAAGUUGGGCAGUCAGAUAGCAGCUGACAAGAUUGAAUGGAAGGGUCUUAGACUGGUCAAAAUCUGCAAAUAGCUUUGUGAGAAACAAAGUUCCCAAUUUCAAAAUUAUUUUCCUUUUGAAGGAUUUGUACCUAUUUCACUUUUAAGAUUAUUUUUUCGUUAUUCUUGUUCACAGUAUUUGACUGAACAGUUUACACAAUUGUUAAAGGUCAGUCUUCAAGGACAAGAGUAGUAUCAAAUCAAGUAUUUCAUUUAAAAGAUCACUUUUUGUUUAUUUCCAGAUGUCGUUAUAUCCUUUUGCUUAAAAUAAAACAAAAAAUCUAUCCUUUCAUUUCAAAACUCUCCAACAGGCAUUAUGACAUUUUGCAAAUCUCUCGACCACUUCAGGGGGAUUAGGAAUGGGACCAGCAUUUUUACAGUCAAUUUCCUCAAUAUGCCCAGUAGUUAAACGAUUGUAAUCCUCUCUCAAACCAGAAGGUGGCAAGCACUCUUAAAUUAUGAGCUGCACUGAAACAAGACAGGCUCUCUUCCGAUAAAAUCUCAGCCACCAUCGUCCUCUGCUUGAGCAUUCAGCCUUGGGUUUUCCAGCCAGAGAUUUGUGUUUAACAGUGUCCAGUAAAUCACAGCAGGACAGGACUAAAAAGGGAAGCAUGAAGAGAUUGAA